rnacentral:rRNA from 1 species
AACGAACGCUGGCGGCAGGCUUAACACAUGCAAGUCGAGCGCCCCGCAAGGGGAGCGGCAGACGGGUGAGUAACACGUGGGAAUCUACCCAUCCCUGCGGAACAACUCCGGGAAACUGGAGCUAAUACCGCAUACGCCCUACGGGGGAAAGAUUUAUCGGGGAUGGAUGAGCCCGCGUUGGAUUAGCUAGUUGGUGGGGUAAAGGCCUACCAAGGCGACGAUCCAUAGCUGGUCUGAGAGGAUGAUCAGCCACAUUGGGACUGAGACACGGCCCAAACUCCUACGGGAGGCAGCAGUGGGGAAUAUUGGACAAUGGGCGCAAGCCUGAUCCAGCCAUGCCGCGUGAGUGAUGAAGGCCUUAGGGUUGUAAAGCUCUUUCACCGAUGAAGAUAAUGACGGUAGUCGGAGAAGAAGCCCCGGCUAACUUCGUGCCAGCCGCCGCCGUAAUAC